GGUUACUGCUAUCGAGGUUCGACUAAGCCAUGCGAGUCGAAUGUAGCAAUACAUGGCGUACUGCUCAGUAACACGUGGAUAACCUACCCUUAGGACGGGGAUAAACCCGGGAAACUGGGUAUAAUACCCGAUAGAUCUCGAUUGCUGGAAUGCAUUGAGAUCCAAAGCUCCGGCGCCUAAGGAUGGAUCUGCGGCCUAUCAGGUAGUAGUGGGUGUAGCGUACCUACUAGCCUACGACGGGUACGGGUUGUGAGAGCAAGAGCCCGGAGAUGGAUUCUGAGACACGAAUCCAGGCCCUACGGGGUGCAGCAGGCGCGAAAACUUUACAAUGCUGGAAACAGCGAUAAGGGGACCUCGAGUGCCAGGUUACAAAUCUGGCUGUCGUGAUGCCUAAAAAGCAUUGCAUAGCAAGGGCCGGGCAAGACCGGUGCCAGCCGCCGCGGUAACACCGGCGGCUCGAGUGGUAACCGUUAUUAUUGGGUCUAAAGGGUCUGUAGCCGGCCGGAUAAGUCUCUUGGGAAAUCUGGCAGCUUAACUGUCAGGCUUUCAGGAGAUACUGUCUGGCUCGAGGCCGGGAGAGGUGAGAGGUACUUCAGGGGUAGGGGUGAAAUCUUGUAAUCCUUGAAGGACCACCAGUGGCGAAGGCGUCUCACCAGAACGGACCUGACGGCAAGGGACGAAAGCUAGGGGCACGAACCGGAUUAGAUACCCGGGUAGUCCUAGCCGUAAACGAUACUCGCUAGGUGUCGGCCACGGUGCGACCGUUGUCGGUGCCGUAGGGAAGCCGUGAGGCGAGCCACCUGGGAAGUACGGCCGCAAGGCUGAAACUUAAAGGAAUUGGCGGGGGAGCACCACAACGGGUGGAGCUUGCGGUUU
rnacentral:rRNA from 1 species